UUUCUACCCCAGCCACACUUCAACCGACCACAGGUGGCUUCUUUGCUUGAGUACAUGUGAGCUAUGGUUGGGUUUCAUUUCCGCUUCCAUUCUUAGCCCACCUUUGUUUGCCUCUGUGACCCUUGCUGGCUCUAAAUGGAACACAGAAGUCCUUUUCACAGUGGGCCUGGGCAUUUCUGGUUCCAAAGUCACAAGUGAAAUCUAAGAAGAAGGAAGAAGACAGUUGCUGAGUGUCUUACUCUGUGCUAGGAUCUCUGAUAGGCACCAGGACACAAUCCAAUUCAGAAAAGCCUCAGCUUGCAGCCAGUGUCCUCUUCCAGUGUCUAUGGGAUCCACACCUAAUGUUUUGAAGUCUCCAGUGCAGGCAGAAAGAGAUAUUUCUGGAAGAAGUUGAGGGAAUGGGGAGAGAAGGCUGCUUUGUCCCGAGGAGUGGCUCAAGACUUAGCUUUGGAUUCCACUUGGCUGGACACCAGAGAUUGCAGAUGCAGCAGUGAAGGAUUGGAAGCUGGAAGGAAGGAAACCCAAGUCAAGGAAUCUAAGUGGCUUCUGGAAACAGUGUUCUAGAAGAAAGCCACACUCAUGUUGCAGACUGACUGACAGACUGGUUGGAACCUCAUGGUGGCGGAGAGUUGGACACUGUGGAUGGUCCCAGGGCUCUCUACAGCCUGCUCUCUUCCUGGAGUGAGUUGCCUGGGGAACUUCCUGUAGAUAUGCAGCCCCUGCUCUUCCAAACCCUGGAGCCUUGGGCAUCUCCCUUGCCAUGGAUGCCUGUAGCAGCUGCUUCUCCUUUGGUGGCAGAAGGAGAGUUCCCACUUCCACUCCACACUGCUCUGAAGCCAUCCCUGAACGAGUGACCUGCUAAGAGUGCAGUUUUCUCUCCCUCUCUCCCGGACUUUGAUUUGAUCAGGCCAAAUCUGAAAUGAUGUGUGAAAGUAAUGAUAUUUGGUAAUUAAAUCUCUGGUGACGGCCACUGCAAUUUGUGCUACAUGCAUUGUUCAUAAGGAAAAAAACCCCGCAUCAAUUCAUUUUCUGACCGGCUACUCCAGGGACUGGCAAUUAGGGGCCGCUCAUCUCUCUAGUCGCCUCGCAUAUUAAAGAGCUACUGAAACGCAAA